ensembl:snoRNA LOC120094893 small nucleolar RNA SNORA51
GGCCUCCUUGUGCUUGCCACAGGCUGUGUUCCUACCCUGACUGUAUAGAAAGAAGAGGCAGAAUAAACCUACAGCCUAGGCCACUGUGCCUGGUCUGUAGGGUGAAUAGGGAGACGGGG